rnacentral:rRNA from 1 species
GGCUGAAAUUCGCCUUCAUGAAGCUGGAAUUGCUAGUAAUGGCAGGUCAGCAUACUGCCGUGAAUACGUUCCCGGGCCCUUGUACACACCGCCCGUCACACCAUGAGAGUUGGAAAUACCCGAAGCCUGUGAGCUAACUGUAAAGGGGCAGCAGUCGAAGGUAGAGCCAAUGAUUGGGGUGAAGUCGUAACAAGGUACC